rnacentral:rRNA from 1 species
UACGGAGGGGGCUAGCGUUGUUCGGAAUUACUGGGCGUAAAGCGCACGUAGGCGGCUUUGUAAGUUAGAGGUGAAAGCCCGGGGCUCAACUCCGGAAUUGCCUUUAAGACUGCAUCGCUAGAAUUGUGGAGAGGUAAGUGGAAUUCCGAGUGUAGAGGUGAAAUUCGAUAGAUAUUCGGAAGAACACCAGUGGCGAAGGCGACUUACUGGACACAUAUUGACGCUGAGGUGCGAAAGCGUGGGGAGCAAACAGG